AAGCCGUGACUAGGACACUUUCUCAACAUCAACUUAUACCUUUCCCAUGCUUCAUUGAGAGAUUCAUUAACACCCUGAGAGAACACUGAAAUAGUUGUUUCCGCUU